UCGGAGCUAGUGGCGGACGGGUGAGUAAUGCAUAGGUAAUCUGCCUUUAAGUGGGGGACAACCAGGCGAAAGUUUGGCUAAUACCGCGUAAUAUUGUAGUUUGAGAUAAUUACAAGGAAAGAUUUAUCGCUUUUAGAGGAGCCUAUGUUUGAUUAGCUAGUUGGUGGGGUAAUGGCUCACCAAGGCGACGAUCAAUAGCUGGUCUGAGAGGACGAUCAGCCACACUGGGACUGAGACACGGCCCAGACUUC
rnacentral:rRNA from 1 species